CUACGGAGGAUCCGAGCGUUAUCCGGAUUUAUUGGGUUUAAAGGGUGCGCAGGCGGCCAUUUAAGUCAGCGGUUAAAUCGUGGGGCUCAACCCCAUUCUGCCGUUGAUACUGGGUGGCUUGAUUGCGGUCGAGGUUGGCGGAAUUCGUUGUGUAGCGGUGAAAUGCAUAGAUAUGACGAAGAACACCGAGUGCGUAGGCAGCUGACCAGACCGCAAAUGACGCUCAUGCACGAAAGUGCGGGGAUCGAACAGGAUUAGAUACCCUGGUAGUCCGCACAGUAAACGAUGAAUACUUGUUUUCGGCGAUAUAAUGUCGGAGGCAAAGCGAAAGCGAUAAGUAUUCCACCUGGGGAGUACGGUCGCAAGAUUGAAACUCAAAUGAAUUGACGGGG
rnacentral:rRNA from 1 species